rnacentral:rRNA from 1 species
GAUGAACGCUGGCGGCGUGCCUAAUACAUGCAAGUCGUACGGAAAGGCCCUUCGGGGUACUCGAGUGGCGGACGGCUGAGUAACGCGUGGGAACGUGCCCCAAAGUGAGGGAUAACGCACCGAAAGGUGUGCUAAUACCGCAUAUGGUCUUCGGAUUAAAGCUUCGGCGCUUUGGGAGCGGCCCGCGUACGAUUAGAUAGUUGGUGAGGUAAUGGCUCACCAAGUCGACGAUCGUUAGCUGGUCUGAGAGGAUGAUCAGCCAGACUGGGACUGAGACACGGCCCAGACUCCUACGGGAGGCAGCAGUAAGGAAUCUUCCACAAUGGGGGCAACCCUGAUGGAGCAACGCCGCGUGCAGGAUGAAGGUUUUCGGAUCGUAAACUGCUUUUAUAAGUGAAGAAUAUGACGGUAACUUAUGAAUAAGGAUCGGCUAACUACGUGCCAGCAGCCGCCGUAACAC